UAUGGGUCACAUUGUGUGUGGGGCACAUCUCUGGGGCACAUCUCUGGGGCACAUGUGUGGGGCACAUGUGUGGGGCACAUCUAUGGGGCACAUCAUCUGUGGGGCACAUGUGUGGGGCACAUCUAUGGGGCACAUGUGUGGGGCACAUCAUCUCUGGGGCACAUCUCUGGGGCACAUGUGUGGGGCACAUCUAUGGGGCACAUCUAUGGGGCACAUCAUCUAUGGGGCACAUGUGUGGGGCACAUGUGUGGGGCACAUGUGUGGGGCACAUCUCUGGGGCACAUGUGUGGGGCACAUCUAUGGGGCACAUGUGUGGGGCACAGGUGUGGGGCACAUCUAUGGGGCACGUGUGGGGCACAUCAUCUCUGGGGCACAUGUGUGGGGCACAUGUGUGGGGUGUAUCUAUGGGGCACAUCACAUCAUCUGUGGGGCACAUCAUCUAUGGGGCACAUCUAUGGGGCACAUUGUGUGUGGGGCACAUCUAUGGGGCACAUCAUCUGUGGGGCACAUCUAUGGGAAACAUCUAUGGGGCACAUAUGUGUGGGGCACAUGUGUGGGGCACAUGUGUGGGGUACAUCUAUGGGUCACAUUGUGUGUGGGGCACAUCUCUGGGGCACAUCUCUGGGGCACAUGUGUGGGGCACAUGUGUGGGG
rnacentral:lncRNA from 1 species